UUUCAUUGAGACUUCGGUGGAUUUGAUCUAUUUCUAGUGGCGGACGGGUGAGUAACGCGUGGGUAACCUGCCUUAUACAGGGGGAUAACAGUCAGAAAUGGCUGCUAAUACCGCAUAAGCGCACAGAGCUGCAUGGCUCAGUGUGAAAAACUCCGGUGGUAUAAGAUGGACCCGCGUUGGAUUAGCUUGUUGGUGGGGUAACGGCCCACCAAGGCGACGAUCCAUAGCCGGCCUGAGAGGGUGAACGGCCACAUUGGGACUGAGACACGGCCCAGACUCCUACGGGAGGCAGCAGUGGGGAAUAUUGCACAAUGGGGGAAACCCUGAUGCAGCGACGCCGCGUGAAGGAAGAAGUAUCUCGGUAUGUAAACUUCUAUCAGCAGGGAAGAUAGUGACGGUACCUGACUAAGAAGCCCCGGCUAACUACGUGCCAGCAGCCGCGGUAAUACGUAGGGGGCAAGCGUUAUCCGGAUUUACUGGGUGUAAAGGGAGCGUAGACGGUGUGGCAAGUCUGAUGUGAAAGGCAUGGGCUCAACCUGUGGACUGCAUUGGAAACUGUCAUACUUGAGUGCCGGAGGGGUAAGCGGAAUUCCUAGUGUAGCGGUGAAAUGCGUAGAUAUUAGGAGGAACACCAGUGGCGAA
rnacentral:rRNA from 1 species